GGGCAUGUAGCGCAGUUGGUAGCGCGCCUGUUUAGCAUCUCAUGAGCAUACAGGAGGUCUGCGGUUCAAAUCCGCACUUGUCCA
rnacentral:tRNA from 1 species